AACAUUCACAUUUCAACACCAGCAGCGAAAGUUUACGGAAGGGGAAAGAUAGGGCUCGGUCAGAUACUGUUAUUUUGUGGCUGAUGAGUCAGAAUCAUGUAAAUAGAGCUGCUGCUGCUGCUGCUGCUUUUUUUCCUUCUCUCUUUCCUGUUAUUGACAAAAUGAAAUAUUCUGUGGCCGCAAUUGGCCUCCAGUUUUGGGAAAUGUCUUGCACGGUCAUAGUCACUCGGGGUCCCACUCGAUAUUAUCAUCUCUCUCUUUGGCUAAAAAUACAAAAAUAUCUUCAUGGAAUUCUGAAAUCCCAAACCCCUUUCCGUUAAGAAAGAUCCAUUUUAUUAUAGCUUCACGAAUGUACUUGAAUGAGCCUUUAGGAAUAUGCUUAUUUGAGUUGUCUGAU